rnacentral:tRNA from 1 species
GGAGCGGUGGCAGAGCGGUUGAAUGCGCUGGAUUCGAAAUCCAGUAUGGCCUUUUGGUCAUCGGGGGUUCGAAUCCCCCCUGCUCCG